rnacentral:rRNA from 1 species
UACGUAGGGCGCAAGCGUUGUCCGGAAUUAUUGGGCGUAAAGAGCUCGUAGGCGGUUUGUCGCGUCUGCUGUGAAAACUCGAGGCUCAACCUCGGGCUUGCAGUGGGUACGGGCAGACUAGAGUGCGGUAGGGGUGACUGGAAUUCCUGGUGUAGCGGUGGAAUGCGCAGAUAUCGGGAGGAACACCUAUGGCGAAGGCAGCUCGCUGGGACGUUACUGGACGCU